rnacentral:rRNA from 1 species
CCUACGGGAGGCAGCAGUGGGGAAUAUUGGACAAUGGGCGAAAGCCUGAUCCAGCAAUGCCGCGUGAGUGAUGAAGGCCUUAGGGUUGUAAAGCUCUUUUACCCGGGAUGAUAAUGACAGUACCGGGAGAAUAAGCCCCGGCUAACUCCGUGCCAGCAGCCGCGGUAAUACGGAGGGGGCUAGCGUUGUUCGGAAUUACUGGGCGUAAAGCGCACGUAGGCGGCUUUGUAAGUUAGAGGUGAAAGCCUGGAGCUCAACUCCAGAAUUGCCUUUAAGACUGCAUCGCUUGAAUCCAGGAGAGGUGAGUGGAAUUCCGAGUGUAGAGGUGAAAUUCGUAGAUAUUCGGAAGAACACCAGUGGCGAAGGCGGCUC